rnacentral:rRNA from 1 species
AUGUUCUCUAAGUCAUUUUUUGACCACAUCCAAGACCUCACUCAAGUGUUGCAACUAUUGCGAGCUAACCAAUGGAAAACUAUAAUGUCCAAAUGUUCAUUUGCACAGUGGGAAUUAUCCUACUUGGGCUUUGUCAUCAGCGAGCAAGGGAUUUCAACUAAACCAAAAAAGAUUUUGCGCGUCCAACAAUGGCCACUGCCACACUUAGUUAAGAAACUUUGGCAGUUCUUAGGUCUUUCUGCAUACUAUCGCAAAUUGUUCGACAUUAUGGCAUCAUUGCUAAACCAUUGA